GCGGAUGGGCGGCGUGGAUGCGGCGAGGUAAGCACACAGCCCAGCUCACCACGCCGCGUGCUGGACGCGCUCCCGCGGGGCCGCCCGAGGAGAUCUAGACGGAGGCGGACUCCGUUGCCGAGGAGGCCCGCGCCUCCGCGCCAAGGCCGUCUCGGAGGUCGUCGACCGCCGCGACAUGCCACUGAUGUUGUGCUCAGACGGGCGACCAGAUGUCGCGACAUGCCACUGAUGCCGUCUCGGCGGGCGCAGACUGGAGCUUGCAGAACAAGCAAGGGUGGAGCGCGC
rnacentral:lncRNA from 1 species